GGUGUCAAAUUUAAAAAAAAACAUGGCCAAGAUCAAUGUCGAGACACUUACGACCUAUGUUUUCCUCUGGGUGUUUUAGAAUAGGGUGAGAUC